rnacentral:rRNA from 1 species
UACGGAGGAUCCAAGCGUUAUCCGGAUUUAUUGGGCUUAAAGGGUGCGUAGGCGGCUUAUUAAGUCAGUGGUGAAAUCCUGCAGCUUAACUGCAGAACUGCCAUUGAUACUGAUGAUCUUGAGUACAGUUGAGGUGGGCGGAAUGUGUCAUGUAGCGGUGAAAUGCUUAGAUAUGACACAGAACACCGAUUGCGAAGGCAGCUCGCUAAGCUGUAACUGACGCUGAGGCACGAAAGCGUGGGGAUCAAACAGG